AACCCGCCUGCAUGAAGUCGGAAUUGCUAGUAAUCGCGGAUCAGCAUGCCGCGGUGAAUACGUUCCCGGGGCCUUGUACACACCGCCCGUCACACCAUGGGAGCCGGUAAUACCCGAAGUCAGUAGUCCAACCUCGUGAGGACGCUGCCGAAGGUAGGAUUGGCGACUGGGGUGAAGUCGUAACAAGGUACC
rnacentral:rRNA from 1 species